AGUGAACGCUGGCGGUAGGCCUAACACAUGCAAGUCGAACGGCAGCACAGUAAGAGCUUGCUCUUACGGGUGGCGAGUGGCGGACGGGUGAGGAAUACAUCGGAAUCUACUUUUUCGUGGGGGAUAACGUAGGGAAACUUACGCUAAUACCGCAUACGACCUACGGGUGAAAGCAGGGGAACUUCGGACCUUGCGCGAUUGAAUGAGCCGAUGUCGGAUUAGCUAGUUGGCGGGGUAAAGGCCCACCAAGGCGACGAUCCGUAGCUGGUCUGAGAGGAUGAUCAGCCACACUGGAACUGAGACACGGUCCAGACUCCUACGGGAGGCAGCAGUGGGGAAUAUUGGACAAUGGGCGCAAGCCUGAUCCAGCCAUACCGCGUGGGUGAAGAAGGCCUUCGGGUUGUAAAGCCCUUUUGUUGGGAAGGAAAAGCAGCAGGUUAAUACCCCGCUGUUCUGACGGUACCCAAAGAAUAAGCACCGGCUAACUUCGUG
rnacentral:rRNA from 1 species